GAUGAACGCUGGCGGCGUGCCUAAUACAUGCAAGUCGAGCGAACGGACGAGAAGCUUGCUUCUCUGAUGUUAGCGGCGGACGGGUGAGUAACACGUGGAUAACCUACCUAUAAGACUGGGAUAACUUCGGGAAACCGGAGCUAAUACCGGAUGAUAUUUUGAACCGCAUGGUUCAAAAGUGAAAGACGGUCUUGCUGUCACUUAUAGAUGGAUCCGCGCUGCAUUAGCUAGUUGGUAAGGUAACGGCUUACCAAGGCAACGAUGCAUAGCCGACCUGAGAGGGUGGUCGGCCACACUGGAACUGAGACACGGUCCAGGCUCCUACGGGAGGCAGCAGUAGGGAAUCUUCCGCAAUGGGCGAAAGCCUGACGGAGCAACGCCGCGUGAGUGAUGAAGGUCUUCGGAUCGUAAAACUCUGUUAUUAGGGAAGAACAUAUGUGUAAGUAACUGUGCACAUCUUGACGGUACCUAAUCAGAAAGCCACGGCUAACUACGUG
rnacentral:rRNA from 1 species